GCGCCUAUAGCUCAGAGGAUCAGAGCACCGGCCUCCGGAGCCGGGUGCGCAGGUUCGAGUCCUGCUAGGCGCACCA
rnacentral:tRNA from 1 species